UACGGAGGGUGCAAGCGUUAUCCGGAUUCACUGGGUUUAAAGGGUGCGUAGGUGGGCAAGUAAGUCAGUGGUGAAAUCUCCGGGCUUAACCCGGAAACUGCCAUUGAUACUAUUUGUCUUGAAUACUGUGGAGGUCAGCGGAAUAUGUCAUGUAGCGGUGAAAUGCUUAGAUAUGACAUAGAACACAAAUUGCGAAGGCAGCUGGCUACACAAAUAUUGACACUGAGGCACGAAAGCGUGGGGAUCAAACAGG
rnacentral:rRNA from 1 species